rnacentral:rRNA from 1 species
CGUUUUGUGGGGUGCUCGAGUGGCGAACGGGUGAGUAACACGUGAGUAACCUGCCCUUGACUUUGGGAUAACUUCAGGAAACUGGGGCUAAUACCGGAUAGGAGCUCCUGCUGCAUGGUGGGGGUUGGAAAGUUUCGGCGGUUGGGGGUGGACUCGCGGCUUAUCAGCUUGUUGGUGGGGUAGUGGCUCACCAAGGCUUUGACGGGUAGCCGGCCUGAGAGGGUGACCGGCCACAUUGGGACUGAGAUACGGCCCAG